rnacentral:lncRNA from 1 species
AUAUCUAGUAGUUUCAAUCAUUUUUAAUCUAUAAAAAAUUAGUAUGGAAAACUAAUCUAGAAUUUACUCUUUUUUUUAAGAUAAGCUUCAAAUACCAUUUAUGUGGUUUCGCACUUUCCCACUUUAAUACCCUGUAGUUUAAACUGUAUCAAAUUAGUGUGAUAUGGUUUCAUUUUUAUCUUUUCGUUAGCUUUUUCGUUAAUAUUUUAUUAAAUUAUAUACAAAAAAUUUUAGAUACCCCAUCUAGAUUUAUCGAAUAUUUACUUUAGCACCCUUUAGUUUUAACUUGUAACUGAUUUAACGAAAAAAAUUAGUGAAAUCGGCAAUAAAAUGAUAAAAAUAAAAUCAUAGGGCACUAAAUUGAUACUUUUUAAACCACAUGGUAUUAAAGUGAGAAAGUAUGUAACCAGAGGGGUGGUAUUAGAAGUUUUCCCUUUUCAUUUUUUUUUUAAUAUG